GGAAGUGCGUCCGUUCUGGUGAAUGGCUCGGUCUUCAAAACCGGUGUUGGGCGCUGAGAGGCGUGCUUGGCGGGUUCGAUUCCCGUGCACUUCCGCCA
rnacentral:tRNA from 1 species